AUUGAACGCUGGCGGCAGGCCUAACACAUGCAAGUCGAACGAGUGGCGGACGGGUGAGUAAUGUCUGGGAAACUGCCCGAUGGAGGGGGAUAAAUACUGGAAACGGUAGCUAAUACCGCAUACCAUCGGAUGUGCCCAGAUGGGCUUAGCUAGUAUGUGGGGUAACGGCGCACCUAGGCGACGAUCCCUAGCGGGUCUGAGAGGAUUAGCAGCCACACUGGAACUGAGACACGGUCCAGACUCCUACGGGAGGCAGCAGUGGGGAAUAUUGCACAAUGGGCGAAAGCCUGAGAUAGCCAUGCCGCGUGUAUGAAGAAGGCCUUCGGUUUGUAAAGUACUUUCAGCGAGGAGGCGUUACUCGAAGAAGAAGCAUCGGCUAACUCCGUGCCAGCAGCCGCGGUAAUAC
rnacentral:rRNA from 1 species